rnacentral:lncRNA from 1 species
GAUCAAGGGAGCUCUAGGGAGACAUGGACCCCUGCCCAAACCCCAUAUCUAUCUGGAGAAUCUGGCCAUCUCACCAUCUCUCCAGACUCCUGGGAUGAUAAGAAGGAUGAUUUAUCUCGACUACUCAAACACUGAAUGGGACUCUCUUGUAUUUAAGGAGAGAAGAGAGCUGAAUGUAUUUUUUUUUUUUUUUUUUUUUUUUUUUUUUUUUUUUUUCACAGUACAGUCAACAGAAUACAAAGCGAUAGAAGGAUGAUGUCAAUGACCCAGGUGGAUGGAUUCAUCCUGUUGGGUGGUGGGGAUGGAGAAUGCAAGGGAGAAGACAAAUAGACAAGUCAAGGAUGCAGCAGAAGGAAGAUGAAGGACUCUCUGAUGGUCUGUCUUUCUUGGAACAGAAAAAGUCUCCACCUGUGCUGCUCACUCCAAGAACAAGGAUGGUGGCAGGAGUUGUGUCUCAGGAAUUACUUCAUAGCAAUGCAAAAUGGACGAACACAGAAGUGAACACCCCACAUUUCUGUGGGGCCUCCUCUUCAGCAAGCUCCCUAGCAUGAUGAGAAGGCCUCCAACAGUCUGCUGGACCCAUUUCUCCAUCUUCUAUCAGCUCAAGCUCCCUUGAGAGGCUUGGAUAGGGGGCACCAGUGAACCUGUGAGGAG